rnacentral:rRNA from 1 species
UGUUUUGCCUGUUGGAGGGCGUUUGGUGGAUGCCUUGGUACGCAGCGCCGAUGAAGGACGUGUGGGGCCGCGAUAGGCCUGGGGGAGUCGCCGACAGGACUGUGAUCCCAGGAUUUCCGAAUGGGGUAACCCGUGGGGAGUUAUUUCCUCACACCAGUGUUUGCUGGGGGGAACGUAGGGAAGUGAAACAUCUCAGUACCUACAGGAGAAGAUAUUCCGGGAGUAGUGGCGAGCGAAACUGGAUGAGGCUAAACCGUGUGCAUGUGAUACUCUGCGGGGGUUGUGUGCAUGGUGUUGUGGGGUUGUUUGUCUUGUCACCGCAGUGGCGAGCGGUAGUUGAGAAAGUGUAGUGUGAGAGGAACCGGGUUGGAUACCGGACCGUAGAGGGUGAUGGUCCCGUACUUGUAGACACUAUGCCUGCCGAUGAUGAUACCCGAGUAGCGCGGGACUCGUGGAAUUCCGUGUGAAUCUGCCCUGACCGUGGGGUAAGCCUGAAUACGUCUGCGUGACCGAUAGUGUACUAGUACCGUGAGGGAAAGGUGAAAAGCACCCCGGGAGGGGAGUGAAAGAGUUCCUGAAACCGGGCGCCUGCAAUCCGUCGGGGCACUCUUUUGUGAGUGUGACGGCGUGCCUAUUGAAAAAUGAGCCUGCGAGUCAGUGGUACAUGGCGAGCUUAACUUUUGUUGGGGAGGCGUAGCGAAAGCGAGUCUGAAUAGGGCGUUUAGUCGUGUGCUCUGGACCCGAAGCGGGACGAUCUAGCCGUGGUCAGGGUGAAGCGUGGGUAAGACUGCGUGGAGGCCCGUACCCACCUGGGUUGAAAACCGGGGGGAUGAACUGUGGUUAGGGGUGAAAGGCCAAUCAAGUUCCGUGAUAGCUGGUUCUCUCCGAAAUGCAUUUAGGUGCAGCGUUUGAUGUUUCCCUGUGGGGGUAGAGCUACUGGAUGGCUGCGGGCCCGUUGCGGGUACCAAGGCCAGCCAAACUCCGAAUACCAUGGGGUUCAGUCAGGCAGUGAGACUGCGGGGGAUAAGCUCCGUUGUCUAAAGGGAAACAGCCCAGAUCGACGUCUAAGGACCCGAAGCGUGUGCUAAGUGGGAAAGGAUGUGGAGUCGCAUUGACAGCCAGGAGGUUGGCUCAGAAGCAGCCAUCCUUGAAAGAGUGCGUAACAGCUCACUGGUCUAGUGGCUCCGCGCCGAGAAUGUAGCGGGGCUCAAGCACACCUCCGAAGGCGCGGCAACGUUUUUUAGCGUUGGGUAGGAGAGCGUUCCAUGGUGGUUGAAGCCGAGGGGUGACCUGGGGUGGAUGCUAUGGAAGUGAGAAUGCAGGCAUGAGUAGCGAGAGCGGGGUGGGAAUCCCCGCCGCUGGAUGACUAAGGGUUCCGGGGCUACGUUCGUCGUCCCCGGGUGAGUCGGGUCCUAAGGCGAGGCCGACAGGCGCAGUCGAAUGGAUGAGGGAGUUGAUAUUCUCCCACCGGUUCAAUACCGUCAGGUCCGAGACGGUUGGCGUGCUUGGUGUUGCUUUUCUCUGAUAUGCCUUUCGGGGUGUGUUGGGGUGGUGAUGCUGGGUGGCGUGGCUGCAGUAGGAUAGCACAGCUGUGACGCAGGGGGAUAGCCGACUGCGGAGGUGGUUUUCCGUGGUUAAGCGUGUGGCCUGUCUCGUAGUGAAGUACGCGGGGCGUGUAGGUGAGGCGUGAUGAUGGGAGCCUUGUAGCUUGAUAUUCGGUGAUUCCGUGCUGCCGAGAAAAGCAUGCGGUGUGAGGGAUUGUUCCGCCCGUACCCUAAACCGACACUGGUGGUCAGGUAGAGAAUACUAAAGCGAUCGAGAGAAUCCUGGUCAAGGAACUCGGCAAAUUACUCCCGUACCUUCGGUAUAAGGGAGCCCAAUGAUGGUGAUCAACCGUGCGUUGUGAGUUGUUGUUGGGGGCACAGGCCAGGGGGUAGCGACUGUUUACUAAAAACACAGGUGCGUGCGAAGGUGUAAACCGCUGUAUACGCACUGACGCCUGCCCGGUGCCGGAAGGUUAAGCGGACCCGUUAGCUUUGGCGAAGCGGUGAAGUUAAGCCCCGGUAAACGGCGGUGGUAACUAUAACCAUCCUAAGGUAGCGAAAUUCCUUGUCGGGUAAGUUCCGACCUGCACGAAUGGCGUAACGACUUCCCCACUGUCUCGACCAGGAGCUCGGCGAAAUUGCAGUACGAGUAAAGAUGCUCGUUACGCGCAGAAGGACGAAAAGACCCCGGGACCUUUACUAUACCUUGGCAUUGUCGUUCGGUGUGAGUUGUGUAGCAUAGGCGGGAGACUGUGAUGCUAUGACGCUAGUUAUGGUUGAGUCGUAAUGUGAAAUACCGCUCUGCUGAUAUCGGACGUCUAACCUUGAGAGGUUUCCCUUUCAGGGACAGUGCCUGGCGGGUAGUUUAACUGGGGCGGUUGCCUCCUAAAGAGUAACGGAGGCGCCCAAGGGUUCCCUCAGCCCGUUUGGCAAGCGGGUGUUGAGUGCAAGCGCACAAGGGAGCUUGACUGUGAGAGCGGCGGCUCGAGCAGGGACGAAAGUCGGAGCUAGUGAUCCGGUGCCGGCGUACGGACGCGGCAUCGCUCAACGGAUAAAAGGUACCCCGGGGAUAACAGGCUGAUCAUCCCCAAGAGUCCAUAUCGACGGGAUGGUUUGGCACCUCGAUGUCGGCUCGUCGCAUCCUGGGGCUGGAGCAGGUCCCAAGGGUUCGGCCGUUCGCCGAUUAAAGCGGCACGCGAGCUGGGUUUAGAACGUCGUGAGACAGUUUGGUCUCUAUCCUCUGCGCGCGUUGGAGCCUUGAGGAGGCCUGCCCCUAGUACGAGAGGACCGGGGUGGACGGAUCUCUGGUGUGCCGGUCGUCCUGCCAAGGGCGCUGCCGGUUGGCUAAGUCCGGAUACGAUAACCGCUGAAAGCAUCUAAGCGGGAAGCGUUCUCCAAGAUGAGGGUUCCGUGAACUUCAAUGUUCGGGAAGCGGCAUAGAGAUGAUGUGCUUGAUAGGCGGGAUGUGGAAGCCCUGUGAGGGGUGGAGCUGACCCGUACUAACCGCUGAAGGGCAAUACAAC